UGUGUGGUGGUAAACGGAGGCGUUCUCGAAGUCGGAGCUGGAGGUUCAGGUUAACGUGUGGGCUGCUGGGGCGUACGGGACCCGCAAGGACUCUGCGUUUUGGUAGGUCUGCUCGGUGGCUGCAUUUCUCCAGCUCUUCACGCAACGAACCACUGGGACUGGACUGAGGGCGUGGGUGAAGUUCGCGACUUCGUUGUGAGCCCCGCGUCUCUAGCUUUGGACCCGGCGGGUAGCUAAGGGGGCUCGUAUAGCGAGUGUCAUACUGGCACGGCCCCCAUCUCUGUUGCGAGUAGGUCGGCGGAA
rnacentral:rRNA from 1 species